rnacentral:rRNA from 1 species
UCAUGUGGCACUAACAUGUGGGAGAUGAAGCUAAGCAGGGCUGGGCCUGGUCAGGACUUGGAUGGGAGACUGCUGGGAAUAUCAGGUGCCACAGGGG